rnacentral:rRNA from 1 species
GACGAACGCUGGCGGCGUGCUUAACACAUGCAAGUCGAACGGUAAGGCCCUUCGGGGUACACGAGUGGCGAACGGGUGAGUAACACGUGGGUGAUCUGCCCUGCACUUCGGGAUAAGCCUGGGAAACUGGGUCUAAUACCGGAUAGGACUUCUGCCUGCAUGGGUGGGGGUGGAAAGCUUUUGCGGUGUGGGAUGGGCCCGCGGCCUAUCAGCUUGUUGGUGGGGGGAUGGCCUACCAAGGCGACGACGGGUUGCCGGCCUGAGAGGGUGACCGGCCACACUGGGACUGAGAUGCGGCCCAGACUCCUACGGGAGGCAGCAGUGGGGAAUAUUGCACAAUGGGCGCAAGCCUGAUGCAGCGACGCCGCGUGAGGGAUGACGGCCUUCGGGUUGUAAACCUCUUUCAGCACAGACGAAGCGCAAGUGACGGUAUGUGCAGAAGAAGGACCGGCCAACUACGUGCCAGCCGCCGCAGUAA